AUUGAACGCUGGCGGCAGGCCUAACACAUGCAAGUCGAACGAGUGGCGGACGGGUGAGUAAUGUCUGGGAAACUGCCCGAUGGCGGGGGAUAACUACUGGAAACGGUAGCUAAUACCGCAUACUAUCGGAUGUGCCCAUAUGGGAUUAGCUAGUAGGUGGGGUAACGGCUCACCUAGGCGACGAUCCCUAGCUGGUCUGAGAGGAUGACCAGCCACACUGGAACUGAGACACGGUCCAGACUCCUACGGGAGGCAGCAGUGGGGAAUAUUGGACAAUGGGGGAAAGCCUGAUGCAGCCAUGCCGCGUGUAUGAAGAAGGCCUUCGGGUUGUAAAGUACUUUCAGCGGGGAGGCGGUACUCGCAGAAGAAGCACCGGCUAACUCCGUGCCAGCAGCCGCGGUAAUAC
rnacentral:rRNA from 1 species